rnacentral:lncRNA from 1 species
UUUUAGGAAUAUUUUUCCACUUAGUCCUCCAGGUAAUUCAUAUUUAAACUUUAAGAACUAACUAAGGCUAGUUCUUCCCUGAAUACCUUUACUAGUCCCACUGGUGUUAUUAAGUUCUUCUGUUCUGUAAUGUACACAACUUCAUUCACUGCUCGGUUGUAGCAGUUAGUACAUAGGCUGACACUAGCUCUCUAUUUGCUACUGACAUUGGAUUGUUUUAGAUUCCCAAGGGCAGAAAGCGUGUCAUUUUUCUGGACCCACUUCCCCCAGGAUCCAGCACAGUGUUUGACAUAUGGUAAGUGCUAUGUGAGUGACUGCUGAAUGAAUGAAUAGAAAGACAGAGGGACACUAGAAAGAUGACCAUAUAAAUAACUCUAUCUAUUUAACAUCUGGAAAGACUCUCAUGAUACUCAUCACUGAGGAUAGAAUAACUUCCUGUUAGAUUUACUCCAUAUUCAUCUUCCAAAGGUUGGAGGCCCACAAGGCUGAACCAGUUAUAGAAGUAAAAGACUCUAGGCCAGGGCAAGCAGCCCCCCCCCCAAAAAAAAAAGGAUUACAAUAAUGAUUUUCUUGGGUAUGUCCAGAUUUUCCAGAUAAAGAAAUGUAAGUGGGAGGUCCCAUUGUGGCACAGCGGAAACGAAUCUGAAUAGUAACCCUGAGGUUUUGGGUUCGAUCCCUGACCUGGCUCAGUGAGUUGGGGAUCUGGCAUUGCCUUGAGCUAUGGUGUAGGUUGCAUACAUAGAUCAGAUCCUGAGUUGCUGUGGCUGUGGCUACACCAGCAGCUGUAGCUCCAAUUUGACCCUUAGCUUGGGAACCUCCAUAUGUUGCAGGUGUGGCCCUAAAAAAAUAAAAAAGAAAGGAAGAAAAGAAACAAGCAAAAUACUGAGUCAUGUAGUCCUGUAGUAUUUAAAAACUGUGACCUUUCUAGGAGGUUGCUUAGUCCUGAGCCACAUCACUUUCCAUUUUUUCUUUCCUCCCCUCAUGUUGGCCUUGGGUUCUUCUUCAUAGAAUCUUAAUUAGUAUAGAUGCAUUUGCUCCUUCUCUUCCAAAGUGGGUUCCAACAGAAACUAAAGUAUAAGUUCAUAGCUUCCUAAAGCUAAAAGAAAUUUUAGGGAUCAUCUCAUGCAGCCUCUCCAUUUUGCAAACUUAGAGGCAUUUGGGAGAGCUUUAGGAAAUGUCCAAUCUAUGGCAAUUACCUGUGUAACUGGGUAGGUCUGAGCCUCGUUGGCAUAGGAGGACCAGUGAGGUCAGAUAAACCUGAACAUUCAAAUCAUUUAGGAAAUUGGGUCCCCUCUUAGAGCUUCUCUAUUUCCACUAAGUUCCAGGGUAUAUGUUCUUUGUCCCUGGCCCCUUCCCUAAGGCCCCAUGCUCACAGGGUCCUGCUCUGGUCCCCUCUCUUAGCAUAGUCCUACCUGUGUACUACCCACUUCUAUAGCAGUACUCCUAGGCUAUCGCACAGGAGUCUUUUUUUGGGGGGGAAAGGGAGUGGUCGAGGAGGUAGGAGGAAAGGUGGGAGUGGGGGAAGGAAGCAUGUUGAGAAACAUAAAAAUAAACUCUUCCCCAGCUUUGUUAUUGGUAAGCCAGAGGACUAUGAUCCAGUGCUCUAGAAUUUGACUCUAAAAUCAUAUCUUGAUUCCAAAACCUGUUUCUGCCACUAGCUAUCUCUUUGCCAUCAGCAAGAUAUGAAACCUUUCUGAAUUUCUAUUUUUUUCUUCUUUAAUAAGGUAGAAAUUAUAAUUCCUUCUUCAUAAGAUUAUUGUAAGGAUUAAAUAGAAAACUAUCAUAAUAUAUCAAGUGCUUAGUAUGAUGCCAGAAGUUGGUAAGCACUCAUCAAAUGGUAUAAAUAUUACUAUACUCAUCUUCAUUAUUCCUAUCACCAUCACAUUAUUUAUUCAUUGAUGUCCUCUCCUUAGAGCACCAAGAGUGUUGUUCUCCUGAUGUACCAAGUAGUGUCGUUUCUAAACAUUGCAAGAAGAAUUUCUACUCCCAUGAAGUUUAGACAUCAACCCAAGCCUAAAAUACAAUGUUUAAUUAAAAUAUUAAUACUAGUUACAUUCCUACAGAAGGAUUGAGGAAGCAAACAUCUUCCCAUUCCCAAUAUAGAAGCUUUCAAAGUUGGUACUGCAAAAGAUUUUAAGGGCUCUGACCCAGCUAAGUAUUAAGCAUUCAUGGUUACCCUCUUGUUAUUAACUGAAAAAAGAAAAAUAAAUUUAAGACAGGGAACCUACCUGCUUUAUAUAAAUAACUUGUAUGAGCAAUCAUUCAAGUUGCCUUUUAAUUGCAAAUAGAUAGGGAUGAAUUCAUCCUCCAAGCAAAUAAAGGGUCCUUAGAUCAGAUAAGGAUGUCCUAUAUUGAAAUAAGUGGUAAGAUUGCCCCCAAAGUUAUUAGUCUCAUAGUCCCAAUCACAGGGGAAAGAUUUUACUAGCUCGGCCUUAGGAUAAGAUUUGGAAGGCCCAGCUUAGUUCAGACAUCUUAAACCACUUGUGGGAUUAGCCCAGACUGUAGCCCAGACUGGUAAAAAAUCUGACUACUUGAUUUACAUAUUUUUAUAUUAUGUAUACUUGAUUAUAUAUAUAUUUGACUGACUACUUAUAUAAUUUAUGAAUCAGAGUCCAUGAAUUAUCUUCGUAAUGACCGGCCCAUCCAGAAAAUAAGUUUUAACAGUCAAAUGAAUACAUUCGAAGCAGCUAUAGACUCUCAAAGCCCUCGUCCUUCACUCUACCCAUGCUGAAUGAGAUCAGCCUUCGAGACUGAGAACACCAGAGAUAACCAACAAGGAGUGAAUAUCCAAAUUGUAUAAAGAAAUCACACAACUCAAUAUCAAAAAAACCCAAACAAUCCCAUUGAAAAACUGGCAGAGAACCUGGAUAGACAUUCUUCAAAGACGACAUACAGAUGGCCAACAGACACAUGAAAAGAUGCUCAAAUGAUUAAUCAUCAGGGAAAUGCAAAUCAAAGCUAUACUGAGAUAUUACCUUAUGCCUGUCAGAAUGGCUACUAUCAACAAGUGAAGAAAUAACAAGUACGGGGAAGGGCAUGGAAAAAGGGAAUACUUGUGCACCAUUUGUGGGAAUGUAAAUGGGUACAUCCUCUAUAGAAAACAGUAUGGAGAUUCCUCAGGAAAAAUGUGAAAAUAAGACUACCAUACAAUCCAGCAGUUUUACUAUUGGGUAUUUAUCCAAAGAAAACAAAAACACUAAUUUGAAAAAAUAUAUGCACCCCUUGGUCCAUUGAAGCAUUAUUUGCAAUAACCAAGACAUGGGAGCAAUCUAAAUGCCUUCCAUCCACAGAUAAGUGGAUAAAGAAGACACACACACACACACACACACACACACAGGAAUAUUACUCAGACAGAAAAAGAAUAAAAUUGUGCCAUUUGCACCAAUAUCAACAGACUUGGAGAAUAUUAGGGCUAAAUGAAAUAGAUUAGACAGGAAAAGACAAGUAUUGUAUGAUCUCAUUUAUAUGAGGAAUCUAAAAAAUAAGCAAUCAAAUAAACAAAACAAAGCAGAAACAGGCUUAUAGACAAAGAAAGCAAAUUUGUAGUUUCCAGAUGAGAGAUGGGUGAAUGACUGGGUGAAAUAGAUGAAGGGAAUUAAGAAAGACAAACUUAUAAAAUAAAGAAGUCACAAGCAUGUAAUAUACAGCAUAAGGAAUACAGUCUAUAAUAUUAUAAUAAUUUUGUUUGGUGACAGAUGGUUACUGGACAGGUUGUGGUGAUUAUUUUGUACUGUAUUUGAUUGUUAGAUCACUAUGUUAUAUACCUGAAACUAACAUAAUACUGUACAUCAACUACAAUUAAAAAAAAAAAA